CAACAGCCUUGUACAUGGGGCGCCUGCUCUACCACUAAGCCACCGACACCCCAUCAAACUGCUAUUCUUGACGUCAACAUUAACUUUCCCAUUUAACAAACUAAGCGACUGCUCUGUCAGCCUUCAAAAAAGUUUUGUGCAUAAUCACAACACAAACGCUCCUGAAUGCACCAUGUUGUGUUGAAAAGUUCUUUUUGAGCACUGGCGUAGAUUUCAGGAGGGACGCAGGGACACGCAUUUGUCCCCCAACACUAAAAACACGAAAGUAGCAGAGAACAUUUGCACCAUAAAGUGAUGCAGAAAAUGCACACAUUGGUGCAUAAACAUUCACCAGAAUGCAGGAGGUCAAGAGUUCAGUGCUCAAAAUUUUCCGAUGGAUACCAAAAAUUCCUGUUUCCUAUUUGUCCCCUUUAUACGUUGAAAUUAAACCUACACUCAAGAGCAUGCAACACGCCUAUAGUGCCUUUUUUCCAUGUGAGAAAAUGAAAAAUACUUGCUACACAGUGCCACUCUGUUGCAUUUUGUGUGUGUGAAAUCAUAUUACUCUUAUAAUGUGAUGCAUUUCACUGCAGGGGUUAAUUCUCCUGUAACCUUUACAUUAAAAGGUGAUAAUUGUGUGCAGGAAAGUGUAUAAUUGAACAUAAUGUGUUAUCUUUAACCCAAAGUGGAUUAAUUUCCUGUUUUAAACACAAAUUAUGACAGACAAUAAUCCAUGGCACAAAAGAACAUACACAUUAAGGCAAGUGUGAUGUCUGAAUAGUGAAUUUUAACUGCGUUUGUGAUGAUUUUGCAGUUGUCUCCCUUUGAUACAAUCCCCUCCACUCCACGGAGCCAGCUGGUAAUUAAGGACCCUUCAAACUGUAAGUUAUCAUGUUUUGAUAGAACAUUCAGCCUCAAUUAUUUCUCAUUCAUCUGAAACCGCCGGUCUUAUAAUACAAUUUAUUCUAAAGUAUUCAUGAAAAAAGCAAAAGGCUCACUCGCUCGCUUGAUUGAUUCACAGUGAUGUACGCAAACUGGGGUGUGGUUGGGUUCUUCUCAAGUGUCUCCGCCACCUGCACGAAAGGAGCAAAUCAAGCAUCCCUCCUCAAGUCUCUCCAGUGUGUGUGUGUGUGUGUGUGUAGAUUAAUGUGUGUGUGUAUGAGUGUGCUGAUAUUUGACAGUCUUGGACAAGUUCCUACACUGGCUGUGAGUGGCCUGAGGGAAGCAGGCCUACUAGAGAAUGAGCCAGACAGUUGGCAAAGCCUCUGCUUCCGUCUCAGCUGUCGUUGGUAGUCUGGCCAUGUGGCUGAGACACUGCUUCCUGUGUCCAAACACUGGAAAAAAAACCUUAAAUCUCAUGUGCUCUAAUCCUAUUUGUUGGAAUUCAAAUAAAGCAUUUUCAUUAUGUGUUUAAAGGCAUCUGUGUGUCGCACCCCUCAUUUGCUCUUGUUUUGUCCCUUGCAGCCACUGUGAAUGCUGGGAAUGUCUCCUGUGCUGAGAAUUUAGAGUUUGAUGUGUCGCCCCCUUCUGGUCACAAAUGUAACUGCAGUGCAUUCAGGAGACAGAGGUACUGCAGCUCAGCACCUUCUGACUGCCCAGCUGUGGAAAUCCAGAGAAGAGAAAAGAGGAGGUGAUGC